rnacentral:rRNA from 1 species
GAUGGGAGCUUGCUCCCUGAUGUUAGCGGCGGACGGGUGAGUAACACGUGGGUAACCUGCCUGUAAGACUGGGAUAACUCCGGGAAACCGGGGCUAAUACCGGAUGGUUGUUUGAACCGCAUGGUUCAAACAUAAAAGGUGGCUUCGGCUACCACUUACAGAUGGACCCGCGGCGCAUUAGCUAGUUGGUGAGGUAACGGCUCACCAAGGCAACGAUGCGUAGCCGACCUGAGAGGGUGAUCGGCCACACUGGGACUGAGACACGGCCCAGACUCCUACGGGAGGCAGCAGUAGGGAAUCUUCCGCAAUGGACGAAAGUCUGACGGAGCAACGCCGCGUGAGUGAUGAAGGUUUUCGGAUCGUAAAGCUCUGUUGUUAGGGAAGAACAAGUACCGUUCGAAUAGGGCGGUACCUUGACGGUACCUAACCAGAAAGCCACGGCUAACUACGUGCCAGCAGCCGCGGUAAUACGUAGGUGGCAAGCGUUGUCCGGAAUUAUUGGGCGUAAAGGGCUCGCAGGCGGUUUCUUAAGUCUGAUGUGAAAGCCCCCGGCUCAACCGGGGAGGGUCAUUGGAAACUGGGGAACUUGAGUGCAGAAGAGGAGAGUGGAAUUCCACGUGUAGCGGUGAAAUGCGUAGAGAUGUGGAGGAACACCAGUGGCGAAGGCGACUCUCUGGUCUGUAACUGACGCUGAGGAGCGAAAGCGUGGGGAGCGAACAGGAUUAGAUACCCUGGUAGUCCACGCCGUAAACGAUGAGUGCUAAGUGUUAGG